GGGUUGUGAGGUUAAGCGACUAAGCGUACACGGUGGAUGCCCUGGCAGUCAGAGGCGAUGAAGGGCGUGCUAAUCUGCGAUAAGCGCCGGUAAGGUGAUAUGAACCGUUAUAACCGGCGAUUUCCGAAUGGGGAAACCCAGUGUGACUCGUCACACUAUCAUUAACUGAAUCCAUAGGUUAAUGAGGCGAACCGGGGGAACUGAAACAUCUAAGUACCCCGAGGAAAAGAAAUCAACCGAGAUUCCCCCAGUAGCGGCGAGCGAACGGGGAGGAGCCCAGAGCCUGAAUCAGCAUGUGUGUUAGUGGAAGCGUCUGGAAAGGCGCGCGAUACAGGGUGACAGCCCCGUACACAAAAGCGCAUGUGCUGUGAGCUCGAUGAGUAGGGCGGGACACGUGGUAUCCUGUCUGAAUAUGGGGGGACCAUCCUCCAAGGCUAAAUACUCCUGACUGACCGAUAGUGAACCAGUACCGUGAGGGAAAGGCGAAAAGAACCCCGGCGAGGGGAGUGAAAAAGAACCUGAAACCGUGUACGUACAAGCAGUGGGAGCCCCACCACCAAAGCAUUCUCUGGUGUUGAAGGCCCUGCAAAGCAGCAUCGCGGUGGCGGAGCGUCGUUUGCGACGCCCAACACACAAAACAAGCGGUGAAUGCUUUGGGGUGGGGUGACUGCGUACCUUUUGUAUAAUGGGUCAGCGACUUAUAUUCUGUAGCAAGGUUAACCG
rnacentral:rRNA from 1 species